rnacentral:rRNA from 1 species
CACGUAGGGCGCAAGCGUUUGUCCGGAAUUAUUGGGCGUAAAGAGCUCGUAGGCGGUCUGUUGCGUCCGCUGUGAAAACUCGGGGCUUAACCCCGAGCCUGCAGUGGAUACGGGCAGACUAGAGGUAGGUAGGGGAGAAUGGAAUUCCCGGUGUAGCGGUGAAAUGCGCAGAUAUCGGGAGGAACACCGGUGGCGAAGGCGGUUCUCUGGGCCUUACCUGACGCUGAGGCGCGAAAGCUAGGGGAGCGAACAGG